GACAGAGGUGCCAAGCGUUAGGCGGAAUCACUGGGCUUAAAGCGUGUGUAGGCGGACGGGUAAGUACCUUGUGAAAUCCCACGGCUCAACCGUGGAACUGCUCGGUAUACUGCCCGUCUUGAGCCACUCAGGGGUCGUCGGAACAAGCGGUGGAGCGGUGAAAUGCGUAGAUAUCUGGAGGAACACCGGUGGCGAAGGCGACGUCCUGGACCGGCAUUGACGCUGAGGCGCGAAAGCCAGGGGAGCAAACGGG
rnacentral:rRNA from 1 species